rnacentral:rRNA from 1 species
UACGUAGGGGGCUAGCGUUGUCCGGAAUCAUUGGGCGUAAAGCGCGUGUAGGCGGUCCGGUAAGUCCGCUGUGAAAGCCAGGGGCUCAACUCCGGGCCUGCAGUCGAUACGGGCAGACUAGAGUUCGGUAGGGGAGACUGGAAUUCCUGGUGUAGCGGUGAAAUGCGUAGAUAUCAGGAGGAACACCGGUGGCGAAGGCGCACACCUGGCCCGAUACUGACGCUGAGGCGCGAAAGCUAGGGGAGCAAACGGG